GUUAUAUUAUUGUCUAUAUGACUCUUUUGCGUACGUUAUGCUGGGCAUUAAUCUUUAUAUUACGAUUACGAUUCCCGCCUGGUUGAUCACCUGCAAAUCUAUUUAGUUCUAUUUGCUUUUAGCGCCCGCAGCAAUACUCGUGGUGAAACAAUAUUUCACUCACUCGCUGGGCUCGUUCGUAAAAUAUUGUUUUCACCACUCGAAAGUAAAAUCCAUAUCUUCGCACCGCCGUUAUUCCGCGAUUGACUGAUGUCAGCCGACACGCCCUCCCCNNNNNNNNNNNNNNNNNNNNCCCCCCCCCCCCCCAAGCGCCGGAAAACAUAGUGGAAUGAUCUAAGCCGCCUGGGGGGGUCGCCUGAGAUCAGUCUUCCAUCGCAGACUACACCGCCGUGUAACAUCCUAUAUAUACUCUUCUUAACCUUUCAAGACUAAUUAUAAUUUCGAAUAUAUAUAUCUUGAACGAAACAAUACCCAAAAUAUACAAAUUGUAAUAUACUCUUUACCAAAAUACACUUUG
rnacentral:lncRNA from 1 species